CCUGAAUUCCUCUACGUAAGAGUGAUGCAUAGUCGAAAUUCUAACCCUUUCAUUUCAUUCGUUAAUUAAAUAUUCGAAGAAACGGGUGAGUUUGCUCGGUCGGUAAGGGUUGGACUGCUACACGACCUUAAUCCGAAACUGCGAAGAGCUGUUCAGUGUAGUUGCCACACGAGUUCCCCGUUUUUAUUGUCUUUCUUUCCCUCUGCGUUAUAUAUACUAGUAUUGCAUGUAAUAGGGAUUCGGGAUUAUCAAUAUACAUAGAAGUAGCGGAAAAGUUCACUCAUGACGUGAUUACCAGAGCAAUAGAAACGCUUUUGUAAUAUAUUUACAGUAACUAUCUUCGAACAAACUCUCUGCUCUCUGCCAACGAGCCACUUUAGUCACGUUCGCAGGUCUUGUAUUUAAAAUUAAUUUUCAUACGUUUAUAGACCCUUAUAGUUUGUAGGUAUUUUGGUUUUUAUUGAUCGAAAUUGAGGAGGAUGGCGAGCGCUUCUCAGGGGAAGGCGGCGAGAGGGAAUGACAGAAUUAUUACCAGCGGUAUUCUGCAGCGAUGAAGACAAGUAACGCGUAAGUCGUGGGUUUUCGUGAAGUUUAAUUUUGAGAAACAAUUUAUUUACACUUACCUGAGCAUUGUUGUAUUUAUAAUUACAUGGGCAAACAUGCGUGUACGUAAUUGGGUGAAUUUGAAACAGUUUAUUUGAUAAAAAUGAUCCAGCAUUAGAAAACUUGUGUAUGUAUACUAGAGAUUUAGUGCUUACCGCAAGGUUGAAGGGUUAAAAUUAACUGACUAUAAACUAAAUAAUGACAAGUGUUAUAUUAAUUAUGUAUAUAAAGUAUACAUAUGUAUUCAAUUCGGAGUGUUCGAACCAAUUACUUAUGAUUCAUGAAUAUUCGAUUCCCUUGAAUCAACGUUAUUAAUAAUCAUAUCUUCACCGUUCGCUCUUUUUAUGAUUUAGCAUCACAGUUGUUAGAUGGAAAAUUCUAAAAUCUGACAAUAUUCGUGUAUCACGUAUUGCUGAUAAUGCAUUGUCACUUUAUUUUAUCUGUAACUCCAUUGCCAGUAAAAAUAACUCAACGUGUUUCAGACUUAUAAAACACAGGUAUAUAAAGAUUUGAGAUUAUAAAGACGUUUCUCAAUUUUACGCUUAUUUUGGAUUUACAACUCGAAUUCCGCCACAUCAAUCACCAGGAUGCAUGCAAUAUAAUAAAUCAAUCUUGAUAUCGAAUAUCUACGUCAAAUUGACAAAUAUUUUCAAUGUAAAGAUGAAUUCAUCAUCCCCUCUGCAGAUGUAGAGCUUGCUCACUUUGAACGUAACCUUACCGAUUAAUGGAGCCAAUCAAGUAUUGACUAACAAAUGUUUUGGGUAUUUUUUCAUCCCACACCUAUAAGUGACAACGAUUGGUAACGUGGCUUGUUUUGUGGACUACUAUUCGUAGUCAUAUUCCGGUCAAUUUAUUCCUACCUUAUUAAAUAUUAAUUAUUAUUGAUUAUUAAUAGACAUUAAAAUGUUCAGUAAAACGUGAAUUCACUGUUCAUUGAGUAUUAAAUACACUAUAUAUUGUCUUUCUUCUUAAAUACACGCAACAAACAUUACAUUUACUAAGAUAUUAUUAUUGAGCAAAUCAUGCACUAUUAACACCUCUUUUUAAAGAAAAUUUGUCAUUAUUUUCAAGCAGGCGGUGUAUUGGCUUUGAGCACGCACUUCACUUCGAAUUUCCUGUGAUAGCUAACGCUUACCUGAAACGUCUACUGCUAUAAGGUGACUAAUAUACUUGAAUGGCCCCUUAACGGAGAAAUUCGACUUUUAGCCGUGAAUGACAAUGUUCGAAAUCGCCAUGAAUCUUGAAACGACAAUCCACAGAUUGACCCAGUAUUUCAUUCAAGGUAUAUUACAGACUUGGUAUAAUUGAUACGGUGAACCGAUAUGUGUUCUAUUUGUAACAGUUGAUAUCUGCUUUAAAAUUUUGGCAUGAAAAUAAUGCACAUUUAUUUCUUCAAGAAUUGAUAUGUAUGCUUGUCCACUGCAUUGAUACGUGUACGAAUAAUCAGCCAUAUUCACAAAACUCGGCAUUCGCAUCCCGCUGUUUGACAUCGAUUUCUG